UCAAACAUUAAUUUUCAUGCUCAGUAGGAGCAGUCUUAACAAGAUAGUUAAAAACCCAAUGUAAGCGAUUUUAUCAUGCAUAAUCCAGUAAGCCUGACCGUAGCCAUAUAUCCCACACUUUAUCAUCGGAUUCCUAUAGAAGUAUAUACCAUGUCGUAGUAUAGAAUUGAACAAACCGAAGCCUCCCACUAUGAAGCCACUUAAGCAGAUAUUAAAUUUUAACAUAUUCUAUGGAUCUGUGAAAAGAGACAACAAAACAACUUUCAUGGCAAAAACAACCGUCUAAAAAAGAUGUUUUUCUUUUCAAUGCCG
rnacentral:lncRNA from 1 species